rnacentral:rRNA from 1 species
CCUACGGGAGGCAGCAGUGGGGAAUAUUGGGCAAUGGAGGAAACUCUGACCCAGCAAUGCCGCGUGAAUGAAGAAGGUCUUCGGAUUGUAAAGUUCUUUAGUCAGGGAAGAAGUCAAUGACGGUACCUGAAGAAUAAGCUCCGGCUAACUACGUGCCAGCAGCCGCGGUAAUACGUAGGGAGCAAGCGUUGUUCGGAAUGACUGGGCGUAAAGGGUGCGUAGGUGGUUUGACAAGUUAGUAGCGCAACUCCGGAGCUCAACUUCGGAACUACUACUAAAACUGUUGGACUUGAGUGCAGGAGGGGCAAUCGGAAUUCCUAGUGUAGCGGUGGAAUGCGUAGAUAUUAGGAGGAACACCAGUGGCGAAGGCGGCUUACUGGACUGUAACUGACGUUGAGGCUCGAAAGCGUGGGGAGCAAACAGGAUUAGAUACCCUGGUAGUC